UACGGGGGGGGCAAGCGUUGUUCGGAAUUACUGGGCGUAAAGGGCGCGUAGGCGGUUGGAUAAGUCAGCUGUGAAAACCACGGGCUUAACUCGUGGCCUGCAGUUGAGACUGUCUGGCUUGAGUGUGGGAGAGGAGAGUGGAAUUCCCAGUGUAGAGGUGAAAUUCGUAGAUAUUGGGAAGAACACCAGUGGCGAAGGCGGCUAUCUGGCCCGUUAUUGACGCUGAGGCGCGAAAGCGUGGGGAGCAAACAGG
rnacentral:rRNA from 1 species